rnacentral:misc_RNA from 1 species
GAUGAAGAACGUAGCGAAACGCGAUAAGUAAUGUGAAUUGCAGAAUCCAGUGAAUCAUCGAAUCUUUGAACGCACAUUGCGCCCGCCAGCAUUCUGGCGGGCAUGCCUGUUCGAGCGUCAUUUCAACCCUCGACCUCCCCUUGGGGAGGUCGGCGUUGGGGACCGGCAGCACACCGCCGGCCCUGAAAUGGAGUGGCGGCCCGUCCGCGGCGACCUCUGCGCAGUAAUACAGCUCGCACCGGGACCCCGACGCGGCCACGCCGUAAAACACCCAACUUCUGAACGUUGACCUCGAAUCAGGUAGGACUACCCGCUGAACUUAAGAAUAUCAAUAAGCGGAGGA